AUAAAUGGUGUUUACAAACGGACUUUAUAUAUAUAGCUUUUAAAGAUGAAGUGGUACACUUGGUGGGUACUAGUUGCGUGUUGCAUAGCAGUAAAUAGCACACAGAAAAUUGCCAUCGAAGCAGAUAUUGUAGGGUUUAUUGAAAGAGACCGCCCAGAAGGAUAUCCUGUCCACGAAAAGAGUACAGUUGCACCGAGGGAAUAUACUUAUCCAGAUAUUCUUCAUUUGCUGGGAGAUUUUUACAAAGGAAGAUCUUUGGACAAACAGGAGGAUAUUGCUUGAAAUUACAUGGAAACCUUAUGGUUUAAUGAAUUCAAUUUAAGCCUUGAAAUUUUGUUAUUAUAUAAGCAUGUGGAUAAAUGAGCAUGCUUUAAAGCAGAAUAAUAUUUUUCAUUG